rnacentral:lncRNA from 1 species
AUCCAUGAGAAGACACAGUGUUCCAUCCAGAGGAUGUAGCAUCAAGGCGUCAUCUUAAAAGCAGAGAAAAGACUCUUACUUGACACCAGAUGCCAGUGCAUUGAUCUUGGACUUCCCAGCCUCUAGAACUAUUUAGUUCAGCCUGGUGUGGAUGCAUUUCAGAAUCUGUGAAAAAUGGAAUCACAAUGCUGUGACAGCAGCAUUUCUGCCUGUGGUAUCUGUGAAGCAGGUAAACAGCCCUGGGACAAAGAACAGACUACGGGUAUUGCCUUCUUAAUCAACAAUAAAGUAUUAGUUGGCUUCCAGGCAGACACCACUGACUUUCAAGAGAAAGGCACGGGAGUAAGGAAGUAAAGAAUUCAGGGCAAACGUCGAGCUUUCCUCUGGGCUCCAAUGUAAAAGAAGUGGAUAGCGGCUGACUAGUGUACAUAUUAUGUAUGCAGACUUUGAAGGAAUCCCCCUUGUUUUUAGCUGUUCUUCCAUUGCUCCUGGAGACUCUGAGCUCAGAGAUUUUCUAGGCUCUGAUGGGCAGAGUGGCUCGUUUCCUCCCUGAAGUUUCCUUCAUGCCACAUUCUGGAUUACAACCUCCUCCAAAGAGUGUCAUCUGUCAAUAUAAUGUCAUCUCUUGA